rnacentral:ncRNA from 2 species
UAGGUGCGACAGGGGAGCGGUGAGCCGCUGAGAGUGCGCGUUGCGCAGACCCUCGAACCUGACGGUUAGUACCGGCGUAGGAAGUCGAGUUCUCUAAACG